GGGCGAUCCUGUAGGAGGACUGGCAGUCUCAAUUAAUCUGGACCCCCAAGAUCUCUCAAACACUGGACCACCAAACAGACAGCAUGCAUCAGUUGAUAUGAGGUCUCUAACACACAUACAGUAGACUUCCAGUUCUGUAUUCAUUCAGAGAUGAUGUGCCUAACUGUACCUCAAGAUGUGCUUCAAGAGACUGGAGGCCAGAGGGAAUUUAGAGAUGCUAAAGGAUCCGUCAUCCAAGCACCAAAUCGAGUUCCAGAUGUCUUGACUGUGAUGGGGCCUGUGAUUUUCAUCAGUUUGCCACAUGCUGAAAGUAGAGGAGCAUAAACAUGUUGGUUGAACACAGCCAAUGAGUCUAAUACACAAACUCAGAUGAAAGCAAAGGGAGGGAUAUAAAGUAAAGCAAAUCCAUGAAAUAAAUAUCACAUAUUCUGAGUGAAUAAGCACCAUGUUGAUUUUUAUGUACUUAAUCCCUAAAGGGGGCAUGGCUUGUGAUUUCAAUGCUCUAAAUGUAAAGUAUAAUAAAAAUUAAUAUAUAUUUUUACUGAAAA